AACGAACGCUGGCGGCAUGCCUAACACGUGCAAGUCGAACGAGACCUUCGGGUCUAGUGGCGCACGGGUGCGUAACGCGUGGGAACCUGCCCUUAGGUUCGGAAUAACUCCCCGAAAGGGGUGCUAAUACCGGAUAAUGUCUUCGGACCAAAGAUUUAUCGCCUUUGGAUGGGCCCGCGUUGGAUUAGCUAGUUGGUAGGGUAAAAGCCUACCAAGGCGACGAUCCAUAGCUGGUCUGAGAGGAUGAUCAGCCACACUGGGACUGAGACACGGCCCAGACUCCUACGGGAGGCAGCAGUGGGGAAUAUUGGACAGUGGGCGAAAGCCUGAUCCAGCAAUGCCGGGUGAGUGAUGAAGGCCUUAGGGUUGUAAAGCUCUUUUACCCGGGAUGAUAAUGACAGUACCGGGAGAAUAAGCUCCGGCUAACUCCGUG
rnacentral:rRNA from 1 species